UACGGAGGGGGCUAGCGUUGUUCGGAAUUACUGGGCGUAAAGCGCGCGUAGGCGGACCUGCAAGUCGGGGGGUGAAAGCCCGAGGCUCAACCUCGGAACUGCCUUCGAUACUGCGGGUCUCGAGUCCGGGAGAGGUGAGUGGAAUUCCUAGUGUAGAGGUGAAAUUCGUAGAUAUUCGGAAGAACACCAGUGGCGAAGGCGACUUACUGGACACAUAUUGACGCUGAGGUGCGAAAGCGUGGGGAGCAAACAGG
rnacentral:rRNA from 1 species